UACGUAGGGGGCUAGCGUUGUCCGGAAUCAUUGGGCGUAAAGCGCGUGUAGGCGGUCCGGUAAGUCCGCUGUGAAAGUCGGGGGCUCAACCCUCGGAUGCCGGUGGAUACUGUCGGGCUUGAGUACGGAAGAGGAGAAUGGAAUUCCUGGUGUAGCGGUGAAAUGCGCAGAUAUCAGGAAGAACACCCGUGGCGAAGGCGGUUCUCUGGGACGGUACUGACGCUGAGACGCGAAAGCGUGGGGAGCGAACAGG
rnacentral:rRNA from 1 species